rnacentral:rRNA from 1 species
ACACAGGUGGUCGGGUAGAGAAUACCAAGGCGCUUGAGAGAACUCGGGUGAAGGAACUAGGCAAAAUGGUACCGUAACUUCGGGAGAAGGUACGCUCUUGAUGGUGAAGUCCCUCGCGGAUGGAGCUAUUGAGAGUCGCAGAUACCAGGUGGCUGCAACUGUUUAUUAAAAACACAGCACUGUGCAAAAAUCGAAAGAU